rnacentral:lncRNA from 1 species
AUGCAGACAGCUCACAGCUGGCAGGGUAAUAUGAUCCUUCAGUUCUUUUUCGGAAAAAGAGGCAACAGCUGUCCUGUCACAAAUGGAGGCACCAUCCUUUCUGUUUGCCCCUUGGGGACCUUCCACCAUGGAAAGAACAUGCCCCAGUUCUUGGGAUUCCUUCAGCCUGGACUCAAAAAUGAGAUACAUGAAGCAGACUUGAGCUUGACCCACAGCUGAAGCAGAACCACCCCAGCCACCUCUCAAAGCUGCGAGCCACAAAUAAAGGCUUAUUUUGUUUGCCUCGCA